ACGGUCUUGUAGAGGAUAAUUUUAUUCUGUAUGUUUAGUUUGGAGCGUCGGCCCGUGAGCCAAUAGAAUUUUUUUAGUUUGUCCUUUAGUUGCUUCGUUUUACCUGAGAUGUGUUUUUUCCACGUUAGUCUCCUGUCCAGGGUCAUGCCCAGGUAUCGGACUGAGUCCCUGCUAGGAAACUAUUCACAAAUUGAACAAAUUUUCAUUAGUAAAAAUACACUAAUUAAAAGGAUUAAUUUGCGAACUUUUAUGAUUGCGUAUUUUGAAUUAGCUCCUUAACUUUCUUUUUACAUUCCUUUUAACGUACGAAGUGUGUGUAUAAAGAUUUACAAAUUGUAGUUAAUCGACGGAAACACUUAUAACCAAUUAUAUAUAACUAAGGCCAGGAAGAAUUGUUAGACAAAUUAUUCUAAUUACAUAUUACAUUAAUCUCGAAUUAUUCCUUAAGUCCUAGGUUAUCCUUUAAGCUCUUAAAUGUUAAAAAACUUCGCUUAUGAGCUGAGAGAUUUAAAUUUUUAAUCUUCGCCAUCUGCUGAUUGAACAUUAUUAAACGUUACUUACAUGAUUUACAAAAAACAAAAUUAAACGAGUUAUAGGGAGUGUAGAAUGAAGAAGGCUUCCAAUAUUACGCUCAUGUGUGAUGCGUGUAAUACGUAACAUUUCAAAGAAAUGCAUGCUUUUAA